CCUACGGGUGGCAGCAGUGGGGAAUAUUGGGCAAUGGGCGCAAGCCUGACCCAGCAACGCCGCGUGAAGGAAGAAGGCUUUCUGGUUGUAAACUUCUUUUGACAGGGAAGAGUAGAAGACGGUACCUGUCGAAUAAGCCACGGCUAACUACGUGCCAGCAGCCGCGGUAAUACGUAGGUGGCAAGCGUUGUCCGGAUUUACUGGGUGUAAAGGGCGUGUAGCCGGGUUGACAAGUCAGAUGUGAAAUCCUGCGGCUUAACCGCAGAACUGCAUUUGAAACUGUUGAUCUUGAGUACUGGAGAGGCAGACGGAAUUCCUAGUGUAGCGGUGAAAUGCGUAGAUAUUAGGAGGAACACCAGUGGCGAAGGCAGUCUGCUGGACAGCAACUGACGGUGAGGCGCGAAAGCGUGGGGAGCAAACAGGAUUAGAUACCCGUGUAGUC
rnacentral:rRNA from 1 species